CAGUCUUGCCGAGGGGCCUGUUUAUCCUCAUUAACAUUAAUACAGCAACUGUCUUCCAGGUCACCUUGUUCCAGAAAACGGAGAAAAAGAUAUUUAUGUCCGCCACCCUCCUGGCUGUUCUUCCUAACAGCUCUCCUAAUACGAACCGAAGACGAGGAUCUAUCUGCCUGGUGGUGUGGAUUUCAAGGACAAGCACAUCGACGCGGAGGUCAGAAAGCUGCUGCUGCUCUCACAGGUGCCUGGCUUCUGCUGGUGACCAGACCCUGGACACUGAAGGCUGCCCCUGGGCUAUGAGGAAGCUGACAGCUAGACAGUGGAAUGCCGAGUGUAGCUAUGAGCACCAGUGAGCCACCAGCUCGCUAUGAGGAGGCCUCCAAACGAGCCCAUUCCAGUGUGUCCAUUAAGCGAAAUGCCAGACCCUCCCCCUCAUCUAAGAAGAUGACAGGUAUGUUAUUCAGCCAUGUACAUGCCUGAAGAGGAGGGAAAGCCCACUCGUGCU